rnacentral:tRNA from 1 species
GGUGAGGUGGGUGAGUGGCUGAAACCACCAGUUUGCUAAACUGACGUACUCGCAAGGGUACCGAGGGUUCGAAUCCCUCCCUCACCGCCA